CAUAUUGGCGUCAAUAUAAUGGAAUUUUAUGCGACUUUUAUACAAGUAAGAGGUUCAACUAGCUACUGUAAAUUCAGAAAUUAUUGCGUGCAUUUAUUAUUGCUUUUUUUAAAUGGACAAAAAUGCGAUAUUAAUUAUUGCGAUUUCAGGAGAAUCUUUAUACCAAUAUAUGUAUCAGAUAUAAGAAUGUGAGCUCUUAUUAUUGCGAUACUCACUCAGUCGCAUUAUUCGAAUUAAUAAAAACCUCGAAAUAAUUUCUGAAUUUACAGUAUAAACCAGGUUCAAU
rnacentral:lncRNA from 1 species